rnacentral:rRNA from 1 species
UACAGAGGUCCCAAGCGUUGUUCGGAUUCACUGGGCGUAAAGGGUGCGUAGGUGGUGAGGUAAGUCGGAUGUGAAAUCUCCGGGCUCAACCCGGAAAUGGCAUUGGAAACUACCUUGCUAGAGGAUUUGAGGGGGGAUUGGAAUACUCGGUGUAGCAGUGAAAUGCGUAGAUAUCAAGUGGAACACCAGUGGCGAAGGCGAAUCCCUGGAAAAUACCUGACACUGAGGCACGAAAGCUAGGGGAGCAAACAGG